GGGGGCGGUGUACACCGACUACUGGGGGCGAGUGUGGUGUUGCUAGUUGGUGGCUGAGACUAGUUCGUGCCGGGGCUAGUUGAGAGAAGCAGAGAAAUUUGGCAAGCGGAAUGGAUGACACGAGGCCAACAAUACCACUUGUAGCAAGGCAUUCAAAGGGACAUGCUACUCAGUAUCUCACUGCCUUUGCAGCUAUCAUGGGUGCCCUGGCUGCUGGGACUGUGUUGGGCUACUCGUCUCCAGCUGGUCCUAAAUUCAUGUCUAAUACAACCACUGGACCGCUGCAUCUGACCACGGAACAAAAUAUGUGGUUCUCAUCGUCAAUGAACUAGGGAGCUCUGAUGGGGGGGUCCUGUUGGUGGCCUAUGUCUUGGUGUUUUAAGUAGAUGAGGCACAAUGCUGGCUUCCACGGUACCCUUUGUCGCUGGAUGGCUUC